AACGAACGCUGGCGGCAUGCCUAACACAUGCAAGUCGAACGAGACCUUCGGGUCUAGUGGCGCACGGGUGCGUAACGCGUGGGAACCUGCCCUUAGGUUCGGAAUAACUCCCCGAAAGGGGUGCUAAUACCGGAUAAUGUCUUCGGACCAAAGAUUUAUCGCCUUUGGAUGGGCCCGCGUUGGAUUAGCUAGUUGGUAGGGUAAAAGCCUACCAAGGCGACGAUCCAUAGCUGGUCUGAGAGGAUGACCAGCCACACUGGGACUGAGACACGGCCCAGACUCCUACGGGAGGCAGCAGUGGGGAAUAUUGGACAAUGGGCGAAAGCCUGAUCCAGCAAUGCCGCGUGAGUGAUGAAGGCCUUAGGGUUGUAAAGCUCUUUUACCCGGGAUGAUAAUGACAGUACCGGGAGAAUAAGCGCCGGCUAGCUACGUG
rnacentral:rRNA from 1 species